CAUUAAGUUUUUACUUAUAAAGUGAUAAAAGAAAAUCUAUUUAAUUUUUUUUUGAACACAAAAAAAUCUAUUUAUUAUAUAAAAAUGAGGAAAAAUAUAGCUCAAAUUUUCAUGUUUGUUUAUACUUUCAUCAUAAUUUCUUUACUUGUUGUAACCAAUGGUAUAAGUUUUGCAAUUCCCUGCAGUACAAGUAAAGAUUGUCCAGAGGAAGUUCGGCGCCCUUUCUAUUAUAUAUGCAUGAAUAAGAAAUGUGUACUCAUUCGGCAUAAAAUAACUCCAGAGAAUUCAAGGGAUCAUAACUUUGGAGGUUGAAGCUUGGAGACUGGUGUUGAAGAAAUUGAAAGAAGCUACAAUCACCGAGUAAACAUGUUGAACAUGAUAGGGGUGAGAAGAAAGUUGAUGAUUUUAGCAAGAGAAUGAACUUUCUUUAGGAAUUUAUCUAUCAUUAGAUUUCUUGCUUGUACUCUUGUUUAAUCAACUUGAUGAACAUAUGUUUAGUCAUAUGCUCAUGAAUUCCGACUUAUGUAUUUCUAUUUAGGAUUUCUAGUACUUAUGUAUAAAUUAAUUCGAACAAAUUUGUAUGUAUCCAGUACUAAUAUUUGAUGUACGUAUAAUAUUCUAGACAAAUUAGUAUGGAUGUUAUAAUUUAACUACUUGUCAAGUAGUGUCUUUCCUUAUUGUAAUUGUGUCUGCUUUGUGAUUUAAGUUAUGACAAAUUAUCUUGA